rnacentral:tRNA from 1 species
GGGGUGGGUGGUUUUAUAAUGUUAUAGGCUCAAAUCAGGAUUGUCAGGCAGGAAAUCGGUGAGAUACACCGGAAUUGGAGUUGGCCCUACUGCAGCGCUUAGGACGCUGUCCCGUAGGGGUCCGCCGGUUCAAAUCCGGUCCCGCGCA